CGCAUAACAAGCAUCGCUACAAAUCAUGAGAUUCUCGAUGUCACGUCGAUGAUAUAUUGAAGGUUAAUGAUCUUUCCAAAAAAAACGUAUUCGAGACUCGCGUUAAUCCUCAAUUAAUGUAUAAGUAUAGUAUAUUACGGUUUAGUUGCUAUGUAUUUAUUAACGGAACUACGAAUUUACGCGCGUACGUAAUAUAUAUUUAUACAUACUGUACGUUAUCGUGUAUAUUACACACAUACAUAUAUAUACGUGUAUGUAUGUGAAUUUUGUAAUAUAUUAUUACACGUAAAUAGAAGAGGGAAGUAAUAUACUACACAAAAUAUUUAUAAACAGCGCUUUCCACGUUCCAAUUGUGAGACAGACAAUAAGUGAAACGAACUAUGACAGUAGAAAUGCAGUUUUAAACAUUUAUUAUAUUGAAAAUAUACUUACAUCAGAGAGAAGCCUAUUGUACAUACGUACCUACCUGAGACACAUCAAAAUAUAAUAUUAUAAUUAAAAUAUUAACAUUAUUUUUAUGAGCUAACCAUCUAAAUUAUACGAAAUUAUUAUUUUAUAAAAUAAUGUUUGAAUUAUUUAAACGACGUGUCACAAAAUCAUACAAUCGUAUUAUAAAGUCUCGCAAAUGAUCAAUAAAUUGCUGUCCUGGCGAAAAUAAAAAUAUAGCGUAAGUCAAAUGUAGAGAGUGAUAGAAAUUAAUAUUAUAAGCAAACAUUCUAGACCGAAGCGUAUAUAUAGAUUAAUUUACGUUUCACUAUUCCAAUUUAUACCUAGAACGUUUGCUUACGCUUCUCUUUUUUAUUCUUUACUUUCGCCAGGGUGAUAACAUGACAAUUAUCCUUGGAUUUCCAUACAUGCGUUGCCAGUUGUCGCAUGUAUAGUGUACGUCAAACAUAUAUUUCUAUGGGUUAUCUCCAAUCAAACGCAUGCUUCUUUCAAAUACAUGCGCAUUAUUUAUAACAACAACGCAUGCGCCAGGAAAUCAGGGAGUUAAGCUCGAAAUGUCAAAUUUAAAGAAUCUUGCGUAUAAAUAAGCCAAUUCUGUAUACAUGACCCGUUCACAAAACACACGUAAUUAAAUGAAUUGGCGGAAAUUUUGGCUGGGUGUGAUGGGCGAGAAAGGGACCGAAAUGGAAACAGAUACAGAUGAUGAUGAAGUUACUGAAACCGAUGAAACCAUGUCGACGGAAAAGAGUUCCAAAAAUAUCGGUACAUCUCCUUCGAACCUGUUUUACAAGUGGCUACCGGAGAAAUGUCUCAAAUUCUGUUUUUUGUUGCUUAACAGCGUAGCCCUACUUGCAGGUAUAACGGCGAUAAUGAUAUCUAUCUGGAUGUUGACGGAUGCAAGCUUUACAUCUAGAUUGCUCGGCGAGCAGCUUUUCAUGACAAUUAUAUUAAUUCUAGGAGUGUUUGUGUCUCUCGUUACUUUUACUGGAAUCAUAGGAAUCGCGAUGAAAAGAGAAUAUCUCAUGAUUUUCUAUUUAAUGUGCCAGUCAAUCGCUCUAUGCGCUGUAUUUGUAUACCUGACGAUGAGUUUCCCGUUUUUCGAUGAGAUUACAAGAAAAACUCGGGAUGACAUGAUCGAUUCUAUGAAGAGUUAUCAAUCUUCGAAUAGGGCUACGGAAGCAUGGGACAAUACUCAUAGAUAUUUAAAAUGCUGCGGAAUUAGAUCAUCCAAGGAUUGGUUGGAUCAUCAAAAGAACAUUCCGCAAAGUUGCUGUUCUGCACCAAUUAAACAGUGCCUGAAUAUCACAGAGGAUGUGUCUUAUAAAUCCGGAUGCUUAAGAGAGGCUAUAAUGCUGUUAAAAUCGCACGUCCAGACUGCCUCCAUUUCUACGCUUAUCAUAUUUCCACUUCUGUUGAUCAGCGUUCUUUUAGCGUUUGGUUUACGAAAGGGAUUAAAGACGAAUCGUUUAACGAGGGACGAAGCGAUCUAUUCGUGAAGACAUACGUGGGUAAACGUAACUCAGAAGUGAAUUGAAUGAUAAGUCCGACAGCAAUGUCGUUGUGCCACUAACUAUCCAUAAACGGCACCGUCUCUAAAGCCGCGAUGCAAAAUAUCAAUGGCGGGUACGAACGUUCGUGGAGACGCGAACAAACAAUACGUGCGACAAAUCGAUAGAUCUGGAAUCUUCAUGGGAUUGGAGGAUGGAGGGAAAUGGGGAAUGAGGGAGAAGAGGGAAGAUUGGCGGGUGAUAAUGUGAGAGGGAUUUCCGACGCUAAGGAUGGUUCGAUGCACGUAUAUGGGUCUCUUUUGUGCGCGAGCGAUCGGCGCGCGCGCACGUACGCACACAUACAUACAUAUAUGCACACAUGCAUACACAUACACAGGGCGAAAACGAUCGUUACUUGGCGGGCAGUAAUUUUGGUUACACAUACUUAGUACUCUCGGUAAGGAAACAUAGUUUAACGUCCGUUACGUUCAUAUCCAGCAAGCACAAAUAUGCGAUAUUGUAUACGUAUUACUUUUACCGAUAAUGAGUUUAUCCCUCUCUCGAAUUUCCACCGUUUCCGGUUUACACACGCAGACACAUCGCGGCUCGCACGCCCGCGGCUCGCAUCUCCCUCCGCGAUCACGCGAGAAUCAGUCGGAGGGAUAGCCCACCGUCGAUCCCGAGCGACUUGUCUUCCCGCACAUUCGCGCGCAUGCCACGGCGCAUGCAAUUACAGACCGAUCACCGAUCGGCGACGAUCGGGAACGCUUACGCUACGGAUAGGACACAUCCACAUGUUAAAAAUACGUUUAGUCGCGCUAUUGGUAUUCGACGACCUCAUGCACGCUCAUCCUCGCACCGAUCAUCGGCUGAUCCUCUCACUCCGUCGCUCUUUCGCUCACGCAUUCGCUCCGCCGUACAAGAAAAGCACCACUUUAUAAUACAAAUUCGUCUCGUCCUUAAUUGCCUAAAGCCGCGAACGGAAUUCAAGCUCGAGACCGCGCGAUCAAGUCCGCACGAUCGCUGGCUCCUAUAGUCCUUCCUCGAGGACACCACGAGGAUCGCUUUUAACUCCCCCCCCUCCCUUCCCCGGGGUUCCUCUUUCUCAAUUAUCUGCCGCUUCUCGCCGAGGCCAUUCAUGGUUGAGACACGUUACGCGCGUUUCCGUAUUCGUUUUUUGGCGCCCGCUGCCGCUUUUCGCAUUCGUAUUCGUCACCGCGCGAAUACCGUACUUGCGUCACACCCGCCGUUGAUCUUUUUUUUUUCUAAGUACGACGUUAAAAUAUCGCUGGCAGGGCAAACGUACACAUGGCUAACGUUAACGUCGUCGUCAACACCGUCGCUCCUCCCGAUUCGCAUUUAUCCUACGCCGAAGAAGGCUGCUAUGUCAAUGUAAAGCUAUGUAUUGACUAGUUUCUCUUUCUCUCUCUCUUUCUCUCCCUGUCUCGUCAGUUCUCAACUACGAAUGGCCUGUUACCCAUUUUUUUUCUUCUCUCUCCUUUUUUCUCCUCACUCUUCGCGAUAUAACUAUAAUUACCUUGUAUCAAUGCGGUGUAUUGUGCACGAUUCGCACGCGCGGUACCACGGUAUCCAUCAUUUACUUUAGGCCUCGAGCGCAAGCUCCACGAGCUUGCCGGCACGAGCCUUGCCUCGCACGAACGUAAUCAGAAAAACUCCACAUUCUGGAAUUUAAUUCAAAUCUGCAAGCUGGUAAUUAGCUGCGUCUACGUCGCGUUAAAACUCUCAGAGGGAAUUUCGCAAUGUUCCUCCUUCCCUUCCAGGCUCGCGUGGUCCGGGAUCCGGUGUGCACAUUCUCUCUCUCUCUCUCUCUCCCGAUUUUCUCACCCUUUCCUCCCCUGUCGUCGUUUAUCUAAGGCUUUCGCGGAUUUGCCAAUCGCGGAUCGGUCGCGCAGCUGGUCCGUGGAGCGAAUACUCGGUGAAACCCGCGUUCCUCCCGCGUGCGCUUGACGCUCUUACACCCUACGUACCCUAUACCUCGUGGUAUAAUAUAUAUAUUUAUUAUAUAUAUAAUAUAACGUUAUAGUGUUUUUGGCAUCUUUUGAAAUACACAAAUAGACUUUGGUAUAAAACUUUUUGAUAGUGUUCAGUACGUUUAUAUAUAUAUAUGCGCGUGCAUAUACAUAUCGGACGCUGCGCUACGGCGUGCUACAGCGGCAUUUUUUCUUUUACCCCCUUCGUCGACUUUCACGUUUCCGGUGUCUCUUUCUCUUUCUAUUUCCCUACCUCUCGGUGUCGCUCACUCGAAAGUCCCGCGGCUUCGAUACUGGACAAUGUCCCCGCGCGAGGGGGACAAUACGACUGAGGCUCUCAAAUCGCU